CUGUUUUAAAGCUGCGUUUUCAAAGCGAUGUAUGGGGAAUUAAGUGCUCUGGUUCCACAGCUGUUAAUGUGAUUUUGUGAGCAAAUACCCUCUACUCCAGCACUGCACAGAAAGCCAUAGUCUGCUGUGAGGUUUUAUACAUUCCCUGCAUGCAAAGCUGUGCCAAAUCAAGGAGAUAAAACCAAUGAAAUCCUCCUCUAUUGAAAUCAGUGGCAAACCUCUCAUUGAAUUCAGGAUCUUACUCAACCAGAGAGUUCUUUUGCAAAUAAGAUAACACCUGGUGCAUCCUGAAAAUUAGGCCUCUUUGAAGUGUUCCUGCAUGUGCAACCAGAAGAAAGAGGCACACAAAAUCAUGGGUCAAAUAUUUCAGACAGUUACUAAGAAGCAGCAUGACAGCUACAAGAAAAUAAGCAAAAUGAAGGAGCAUGUGAACUGGGAGUACAUCAAGAUGCCACAAACAAUGCUAGAUCUUCAUGUGAUGCUAGUUUGCUAUUUGCAGUCAUGCAGCAUAAACCACACCAGUCUCUGUGUUCAAAAGAAAGUAAAACUACCAAUGUGAUGAGAGAUAUUGGCUUCCAGGUAAAAAUAACGAGUUCAUGUGGAUGUUGGCAAGCUCUGUGAGACAGAGAUGAUCUGUAGUAUGACUUGAUGAACACUCCUAAAAUGGGACAGUAAGCUUCUAUUCCAAAAUGAUCAGUGUAUAAAGCUAUCUAUCACCUUGUAAUAUGAAAUAUAUUAAAAAGGUUGACUAUGGUUACAAAGACAAAAAGAUGAAAAACAAAAUUCGUCCAACAAUUAUGAUUGUUUAGGUCUUUUGCUUUUCGAUUUUUUACUGCCUUGUUUAAGUUUCCUGCAUGCACACAAAUAUGAAGAAAAGAAGCCUUUCCCAGAUCUCAUAUAAGCUUUUCCUUCUUGCCUAUUUAGAGCCAAGCAUGCCUUAUCCUUCAAUUACUGCUAGCUCCUAGCCAUGUCAUCUACUUCUGAAAUAUUCAUUUGCUGCCAUCUUUGCUGCCAUCAUUUCAGUGAUUGCUGUACACCUUUGCUGGAUUUGAUGCUAGCCUUUAGUCAGUGCUGAGGUCCUUUCUAAUCUUCUAAUCUAAUACAGAAAAUGUUCUAUUGUGUGUCUUUGAAAAAUAUGUAUAUAUAAAGAGUAGCUUCUGUGCUCAGCUUCUUUGCAGUCUUACACCUUCCUCCUGAGUCAGCUACUGUGCUUGUUUGCUCCAUCAUUAUCCUGGCUGAAAAAUGUCAGAGUGAUGGAGUACCUACGAGCAGUUUCCCAGUGAAAAAAUAAAGGAUUUGCUGAGUGAGCA
rnacentral:lncRNA from 1 species